UACGUAGGGUGCAAGCGUUAAUCGGAAUUACUGGGCGUAAAGCGUGCGCAGGCGGCUUUGCAAGACAGAUGUGAAAAUCCCCGGGCUCAACCUGGGAACUGCAUUUGUGACUGCAUGGCUGGAGUGCGGCAGAGGGGGAUGGAAUUCCGCGUGUAGCAGUGAAAUGCGUAGAUAUGCGGAGGAACACCGAUGGCGAAGGCAAUCCCUGGGCCUGCACUGACGCUCAUGCACGAAAGCGUGGGGAGCAAACAGG
rnacentral:rRNA from 1 species